rnacentral:rRNA from 1 species
AAAGCGUGCGCAGGCGGUUUGUUAAGACUGUCGUGAAAUCCCCGGGCUCAACCUGGGAAUGGCGAUGGUGACUGCAAGGCUAGAGUUUGGCAGAGGGGGGUAGAAUUCCACGUGUAGCAGUGAAAUGCGUAGAUAUGUGGAGGAACACCGAUGGCGAAGGCAGCCCCCUGGGUCAAAACUGACGCUCAUGCACGAAAGCGUGGGGAGCAAACAGGAUUAGAUACCCUGGU